UACGGGGGGGGCAAGCGUUGUUCGGAAUUACUGGGCGUAAAGGGCUCGUAGGUGGCCAACUAAGUCAGACGUGAAAUCCCUCGGCUUAACCGGGGAACUGCGUCUGAUACUGGAUGGCUUGAGUUCGGGAGAGGGAUGCGGAAUUCCCGGUGUAGCGGUGAAAUGCGCAGAUAUCGGGAGGAACACCCGUAGCGAAGGCGGCACCU
rnacentral:rRNA from 1 species